rnacentral:rRNA from 1 species
AUUGAACGCUGGCGGAAUGCUUUACACAUGCAAGUCGAACGGCAGCACGGGGGCAACCCUGGUGGCGAGUGGCGAACGGGUGAGUAAUACAUCGGAACGUGCCCAGUCGUGGGGGAUAGCCCGGGGAAACCCGGAUUAAUACCGCAUACGACCUGAGGGUGAAAGCGGGGGACCGAAAGGCCUCGCGCGAUUGGAGCGGCCGAUAUCAGAAUAGGUAGUUGGGGGGGUAAAGGCUCACCAAGCCAACGAUCUGUAGCUGGUCGGAGAGGACGCCCAGCCACACUGGAACUGACACACGGUCCAGACUCCUACGGGAGGCAGCAGUGGGGAUUUUUGGAAAAUGGACGCAAGUCUGAUCCAGCCAUUCCGCGUGCAGGAUGAGGGCCCUCGGGUUGUAAACUGUUUUUUUACGGAACGAAAAGGUCUCUUUAAAUACGGGGGACUAAUGACGGUACCGUAAGAAUAAGCACCGGCUAACUACGUGCCAGCCGCCGCGGUAA